rnacentral:rRNA from 1 species
CACGUAGGGGCGAAGCGUUGUCCGGAAUUACUGGGCGUAAAGCGCGCGCAGGCUGUUUGGUCAGCAGCGGGUGAAAUCACAGGGCUCAACUCUGUGGCUGCUCGCUGAACUGCCAGACUAGGGUUCGGGAGAGGGCAGUGGAAUUCCUGGUGUAGCGGUGGAAUGCGUAAAUACCAGGAGGAACACCCGUGGCGAAAGCUGCUGCCUGGAACGAUACCGACGCUGAGGCGCGAAAGCUAGGGGAGCGAACGGGAUUAGAUA